rnacentral:lncRNA from 10 species
CUGUACCUUCCCAGGAAUGUGUAGUGCUGUUUAGGACCUAAAAUGGAUUUCUUUGGCUUGUGCUACAAAGACCUUUAGUUGAGAGUUCCAAAAGCCUGUGGCUUUUCCAUCUCCGGACAUCAGUAGGCAAUGGAAGAAUAAUUGCCACUUUUUGCCUUUGAGUAACAAAUCAAGGUUCUGCCAUGGUGACAUCUUGUCGUUGGAAGAUGCCUGAAGUCUGCCGAGGUCACAGACUCACUUUGAUUUAUUUUGGGAGAGGCUUCCAACUGAGAAGGAAGCCAGCUCUGCAGGUCUUUUGUGCUUCUGCCACGAGACACGGAAAAAAAGCACUUCUUGUUCAAAAGCCACCAUCAAAUCCAAACAUAGAAUAUGUGGUGGGAUAGAGGUGGGGUGGCUACCUUCAUGCUUGACCGACAACAGAGGCCAUGGGAAGUGAGUGCUAUAGCAUGGGUGAACCUUGAUGACACGUGCUGAGCAAAAGAACCAAGACAAAGGCCACAUGUGGUUCCACCACUCACCACCCUCCAGAAGAAAG